rnacentral:lncRNA from 1 species
UGGUGAUUAGCCUACUUGAAAUCUCCUCUCUAAAAAUCUUCUUAUAAUCGCCAUCAAGUUAUCAUCUUGAAACAGAAAAACCACCUCCACAAUACCAAAUAUCCGCCUUAGCUUUGUCGUACCCGUUUUGUUUACUAUCUUCCUUGCUCAUUCUUUUGUUCUUUUGUUUACGAUCUUUGUUUGAUCUUCAUGAUAUCAGUAGUUCAUCAUAGACUUUAGUGAAGGUUCCAUAACCCAACAUACAACCGAGCUCAUAUUUUCCGUGGAGCAGAG